CCCCUAGAUGCUCUGGGCCGCACGCGCGCUACACUGGUCGAUGCAACGAGUUUCUUUCCUUGGCCGACAGGCCUGGGCAAUCUUUGAACAUCGAUCGUGAUCGGGAUAGAUUCUUGUAAUUUUUGAUCUUAAACGAGGAAUUCCUAGUAAACGCAAGUCAUCAGCUUGCAUUGAUUACGUCCCUGCCCUUUGUACACACCGCCCGUCGCACCUACCGAUUGAAUGGUCCGGUGAAAUCUCCGGACUGGCGUGAGUCGGAGCAAUCUGACAAACGCCGGAAAGUUGAUUAAACCUUACCAUUUAGAGGAAGGUGAAGUCGUANCA
rnacentral:rRNA from 1 species